rnacentral:rRNA from 1 species
UGGGGAAUUUUGGACAAUGGGCGAAAGCCUGAUCCAGCAAUGCCGCGUGUGUGAAGAAGGCCUUCGGGUUGUAAAGCACUUUUGUCCGGAAAGAAAUCCUCUGGGUUAAUACCUCGGGGGGAUGACGGUACCGGAAGAAUAAGCACCGGCUAACUACGUGCCAGCAGCCGCGGUAAUACGUAGGGUGCAAGCGUUAAUCGGAAUUACUGGGCGUAAAGCGUGCGCAGGCGGUUUUGUAAGACGGAUGUGAAAUCCCCGGGCUUAACCUGGGAACUGCAUUCGUGACUGCAAGGCUAGAGUAUGGCAGAGGGGGGUAGAAUUCCACGUGUGAGCAGUGAAAUGCGUAGAGAUGUGGAGGAAUACCGAUGGCGAAGGCAGCCCCCUGGGCCAAUACUGACGCUCAUGCACG